CGGGGGGAUGUCAGGAAUGGUACUGGUACCUCGUUCAUGGUAGAUAACUAUUGGCUGAAUGAAUAAAUGCCUUACCUUUUAUAUUUAAUAUAUUCUGUCUCAGUAAAACUGUACCUCAGAAUUCACCACAGAAAAUUCCCUCCAACCCCAGUCUUCAGAAGCCUCUCUGUACUGAAUCACUGUGAUAAAUCUCUUUUAUCCUCUCCUCUAGGUGAUGGAGAGCUGCAGGGAAGACUUCUGCAGCUCUUCCAGAAUUGCUGCUUCCAAACACUUGAUUGAUACCUGUGGAACAGAGCAGAUGAUAUCAUUAUAAUUUCUUGAUGUGUUUACUUUCGUGUCAACUUCCCUGCUAGAAUGUCAGAAGUCUCCGAUACCUUCUAAUAUCCAAACUUUGCUUUUUGAAAACUAAAAUUUCUCAACAACAAUUUGUUGAACAAAAUGAAUGAACCAAUCAACUAUAUUCAUAAGGGGACAAAAUUUUAAGACCUGGGGUCUCUCACAUUCUUAAAUCACUGCCUGUUGACCUAAAUAGGCAGAUGCCUUUGAAGAACUUUGACUAUAAGCUUAAUAUACUUAAAAUAGAAAUUAUAUUGUUUUUCAUAAUUCUUAGUCUUGAUCUGCUUCACCACUAGGCAUUUUUCUAGGUGGAAUUAAAUAGAAAGCUGAUGAAACAUUUGCCUUUUUAAUAUAAUUUCUUUGAAAAAUAGAAUUUAGAAAACUCAAUCUACAUACAACUCAGCACACAGGACUCUUGGCAUUUACCCGUACUGUAAAAGAUGGAUGUGUGAAUGUACGCAUCUAUCUCUCUGUGUAUAUAUAGAUAUAUUUUUUAAAUGUCAUGUCAAUUACAAAUGAAUAAAAGGCAGCUCAUAGUCUGUGAGGUCUCAGGAAUUUAUUGGAUUGAUAUUAAGAGGCAAUGUUCCAUAACAUGAGAAUUCUUCCUGACUCUUUCAAGUCACAAAUCAAACAAGAAAAUCAAGCAGCAUCUUCACUGAGCCUGACUGGCUAUUUCA
rnacentral:lncRNA from 1 species